CCUGUCAGGGUAUAUAUAAUAAAUGUCGAGACAAUGUUAUAAACUUAAAAUUUCAAUAAGAAGCCGUUGCCCAAUUUCAUCAGAAAUUUAGAAUUCUGCGAGUGUGUGACGCCGACGCCGAAGUGCAUGAGUGUUAGUGCCCAAAUUCAUUAGAAAUUUAGAAUUCUGCAAGUGUGUGAGACCGACGCCGAGUGUCAGACAGGCGCCGAAGUGCAUGAGUGUUAGUGCCCAAACUCAUCAGAAAUUUAUAAUUCUGCGAGUGUGUGAGACCGACGCCGAGUGUCGAUGUAAGACAGGCGCCGUAGUGCAUGGAUGUUAGUGCCCAAGUUCAUCAGAAAUUCGAAGUUCUGCUAAUGUGUGAGACAGACGCGUCUGGAAGUCGCGUUGGAAUAUUGUCAAGGAAAAUCGUUUAUGUUUCGUAUGUCUGAAAAAAGGGAAAAUUGUUCAGAAUUGCAAAGUUAAACAAAUUUGCCCGUUUGAAAGUUGCCAACAUUUGCAUCAUAGUAGUAUUUAUAAUGUUCCACAAAUUCAAAAUCUACCAAUCACAGAUCCUACGUCUUUACUAAAUUGCUGCGGCGAAGUGACUAGCUCGAGCCCAUACCUCUUCAAGGUGAUUCCCGUCGUAUUAUAUGGAAACAACGGAAAAAUAGAAACUUAUGCAAUGUUCGAUGACGGAAGCUCAGUUACCUUGUUGGAGGAAAGUAUUGCUGACCAAUUAGGACUAGAAGGCCAAAGAAGUCCAUUAACCCUCCAGUGGUACGAUAACAGAAAUAGUUUAGAAAUGUCUAAGAAGAUCAGAUUUAAGAUUACUGGCAUGAAUGAUCAUGUGCGAUACGACUUAAAGAAUGUACAAACUGUAAGGAGUCUUGAUUUGCCAACCUAGUCGCUUGCAAAGAAUCAGCACAAUCAUUUCGCUAAUGUACCAAUAUUGGAUUACACUGACGCUAAACCAGUUCUGCUCAUUGGACUUGACAACCUACAUUUAGGUCUUCCGAAAAGGAUAGUGGAAACAGGAAGCUCACAACCAGUAGCCAUUGAUACAAAACUAGGAUGGCUGGCAUAUGGUCCAAAUUCAAAGUUUGAAAGAAUCAGAGCUUCAUUAAAAUCCCGUGUGUGUUUUUUAAUGGAUGAAAAUAAAUGGCAAGAUCUAGUGACUGAGUUUGUAGAAUCCGAGAACUUCGGUAUGAGUAACUUACCACCCAUAGAACCAAUUGAUGAUGAAAGAGCCAAGGAACUGAUGAUGAAAAAAACCAUUCGGACUGGAAAACAGUUUGUAAUCGGAUUGCCAUGGAAGGAAAAUGUAAGAAUGCCGGAUAGUUAGGUGAUGGCUAAGAAAAGAUUGUACGGAAUUGAAAAGAAGAUGCACGCUGAUCAAGAAUUUGCUAAAAAAUACAGAGCAGAGAUAACUAAAUAUGUCGAGAAGGGUUAUGCUCGCGAACUAAGUUACCCGGAAAUUAUCGACACAUCCAAACCCGUCUGGUACAUUCCGCACUUUACAGUACAGUCGUAUCACAAACCAGUUAAAAUGCACAUCGUUUUCAACGCAGCUGCUGAAGUCGAAGGUAUUUCGCUUAAUAAAGCACUACUUAAAGGCCCUGACAAUUUAAAGCCACUCUUAUCAAUUCUUAUGCAAUUUAGGCAAAAUAAAAUAGUUGUAACUGCAGAUAUUCGAGAAAAGUUUUUGCAGAUACAGAUAAACGAAAACAAACAGAGCGCCCAGCGGUUUUUGUGGCGAAAUGGAGACAUAAGUCAACCGAUUAGACACUACGCCAUGACGUCCUUAAUUUUGCCAUUCUGUGCAAAUUAUGUCUAGAAUCUAAACUCAGAAGACUUUAAAGAUUGAUUUCCAAGGGCAACGCAAGCAAUUGUUGAACACCAUUAUGUAGACGACCUUGUCAUGAUUUUUACAUCUUAAGAAGAGGCAAUCGAGAUUUGUCAAGAGGUCGUAAAGGUGCAUUCAGAAGGAUGAUUUGAGCUGCGUAAUUUCUCCUCGAACUCGAAGAAAUUGCAGAAUAUCAUGAACAAUCAGCAGGUACAAAAAACUCACAAUCAUCUGCAAAGUCAGCUCGCAAGCGAGAAGGUCUUAGGCAUAUUUUGGAAUACACAGCUUGAUUUUUUCAAUUUGAGACCAAGUUCCAUCGCAUUCCACAGAACUUCUUAAAUGAAACUCGAGUCCGAAACUCGAGUGGCGUUUUUUGACCCGUUCGGGUUGAUUGCUGACUAUCAUAUUUCGCCAGAGCUGCAUACAAAGUAGAAACGUUGGUUGGCUGAAAUACAUAAUAUGCACAACUUUAAGGUUCGCCGAGUUUACUCUCCUAACUUACACUGCUGCGACCGAUUGGAGAUGCAUAUAUUCGUCGACACGAGUCAAGCAGCAAUUGCAACGGUUGCUUAUUUGCGCAUAGUUUGCCCUACCGUCGUCAACAUAGCCUUUGUCAUGGGAAAAACACGCCUGGCCCCGAAAAAACUGUUGUCUAUUCCUAGACUGGAGCUUCAAGCUGCAAUCCUUGGCAUUCGGGUAAGCCACCGGAUAACCGAAAUACUUUCAAAUUCAACACAGUCUCAAUGGAAUUGAGUACUAUCGUCCUGCAACACUGCUGAUGUCGCCACUCCGACUCCCCGAAAAUCGAUGGCCUGGGCUCAUGGAUACUCGGCCCGAGAUUUUCGGACAGGAAAGGAUCUGCAACUUUCAAAGAGUUAGUUGAUGCUGAAAUCGGAUGGUGCAACAAGAAGCCUUCCCCGAGGAAAUCAAGAACCUACGAAAUCAAGAUGAUUACGAAUGAUUGGCAUUCGGGUAAGCCACCGGAUAACCGAAAUACUUUCAAAUUCAUCACAGUCUCAAUGGAAUUGGGUACUAUCGUCCUGCAACAUUGCUGAUGUCGCCACUCCGACUCCCCGAAAAUCGAUGGCCUGGGCUCAUGGAUACUCGGCCCGAGAUUUUCGGACAGGAAAGGAUCUGCAACUUUCAAAGAGUUAGUUGAUGCUGAAAUCGGAUGGUGCAACAAGAAGCCUUCCCCGAGGAAAUCAAGACCCUACGAAAUCAACAGAUGAUUACCAAUCAGCGUCGAAUUUAUGAACUGUCUCCAUACAUCGUAUCAGACGGCCUCCUACAUCUAUCGGGUCGAAUAGAUGAGACCUCAUAUUUACCACAGUCGAGACGUCGUCCAAUCCUCCUUCCGAAAGAUCACAAAGUCUCUUUUUUGAUUAUGCAUUUUCACACAAAAUACUACCAGCAGAACCAAGCAGUCAUUAUAAAUGAGAGCCGUCAAAAUUUUUGGAUAGAAAGCCGCCCAGAAGGUUGUACCAAUUCAACCUAGACGCCUCUGCCGUCUACCCAAAAUAUAUGGCUGAGAAAGCAGUGGAAAAUUGCCCAUUCUCUUAAAAUUGACGAUCUGGUACUUAUAAUGUGGCGUUCCUUACCAAGAAGAGCAUGGAAGAGAGGCCGAAUAAUCAAAGUCUUCACCGAAUAGGAUCAACAAGUACGUUCAGCCGAGGUGAAAACAGAGGAAAUUAUUUUGCACCAACCAGCAUCGAAGUUAAUACUCCUCCAAUUGUAUGAGAAUCAACUUGCCGAUAUGUUCACUAAGCCGUUGCCUGCAGUAAAAUUCAUGGAACUUCGAAAUCAAUUGGAUCUUGUGCAAGAUGACCGAACCAG